rnacentral:rRNA from 1 species
ACCAGCCACACUGGGACUGAGACACGGCCCAGACUCCUACGGGAGGCAGCAGUGGGGAAUUUUCCGCAAUGGGCGAAAGCCUGACGGAGCAAUACCGCGUGAGGGAGGAAGGCUCUUGGGUUGUAAACCUCUUUUCUCAGGGAAGAACACAAUGACGGUACCUGAGGAAUCCGGCUAACUCCGUGCCAGCAGCCGCGGUAAUACGGAGGAUGCAAGCGUUAUCCGGAGGGGGCG